AGCGAACGCUGGCGGCAGGCUUAACACAUGCAAGUCGAGCGGGCACUUUCGGGUGUCAGCGGCGGACGGGUGAGUAACGCGGGGGAACGUGCCCUCUGGUUCGGAAUCACUCAGGGAAACUUGAGCUAAUACCGGAUACGCCCUUUUGGGGAAAGGCUUGCUGCCGGAGGAUCGGCCCGCGUCUGAUUAGCUAGUUGGUGCGGUAACGGCUCACCAAGGCGACGAUCAGUAGCUGGGCUGAGAGGGUCGGCACCCACACUGGGACUGAGACACGGCCCAGACUCCUACGGGAGGCAGCAGUGGGUAAUAGUGGACAAUGGGCGCAAGCCUGAUCCAGCCAUGCCGCGUGAGUGAUGAAGGCCUUAGGGUUGUAAAGCUCUUUUAUCCGGGACGAUAAUGACGGUACCGGAGGAAUAAGCCCCGGCUAACUUCGUG
rnacentral:rRNA from 1 species